AACGAACGCUGGCGGCGUGCUUAACACAUGCAAGUCGAACGGGAAAGUUCCUUCGGGGACCUAGUACAGUGGCGCACGGGUGAGUAACACGUAGGUGAUCUACCCUUCGCUGGGGAAUAACCCCGGGAAACCGGAGCUAAUUCCGCAUACGUCUCUUAAGUUUCGACUUAAGAGGGAAAGGUGGCCUCUCCAUGGAAGCUAUCGGCGAAAGAUGAGCCUGCGUAUCAUUAGCUAGUUGGUGAGGUAAUGGCUCACCAAGGCUUCGAUGAUUAGCUGAUCUGAGAGGAUGAUCAGCCACACUGGAACUGAAACACGGUCCAGACUCCUACGGGAGGCAG
rnacentral:rRNA from 1 species